rnacentral:rRNA from 1 species
AGGCCUAACACAUGCAAGUCGAGCGGAUGAGAAGAGCUUGCUCUUCGAUUCAGCGGCGGACGGGUGAGUAAUGCCUAGGAAUCUGCCUGGUAGUGGGGGACAACGUUUCGAAAGGAACGCUAAUACCGCAUACGUCCUACGGGAGAAAGCAGGGGACCUUCGGGCCUUGCGCUAUCAGAUGAGCCUAGGUCGGAUUAGCUAGUUGGUGAGGUAAUGGCUCACCAAGGCGACGAUCCGUAACUGGUCUGAGAGGAUGAUCAGUCACACUGGAACUGAGACACGGUCCAGACUCCUACGGGAGGCAGCAGUGGGGAAUAUUGGACAAUGGGCGAAAGCCUGAUCCAGCCAUGCCGCGUGUGUGAAGAAGGUCUUCGGAUUGUAAAGCACUUUAAGUUGGGAGGAAGGGCAUUAACCUAAUACGUUAGUGUUUUGACGUUACCGACAGAAUAAGCACCGGCUAACUCUGUGCCAGCAGCCGCGGUAAUACAGAGGGUGCAAGCGUUAAUCGGAAUUACUGGGCGUAAAGCGCGCGUAGGUGGUUUGUUAAGUUGAAUGUGAAAGCCCCGGGCUCAACCUGGGAACUGCAUCCAAAACUGGCAAGCUAGAGUACGGUAGAGGGUGGUGGAAUUUCCUGUGUAGCGGUGAAAUGCGUAGAUAUAGGAAGGAACACCAGUGGCGAAGGCGACCACCUGGACUGAUACUGACACUGAGGUGCGAAAGCGUGGGGAGCAAACAGG